GUACGUGAAACCGCUUAGAGCAAAACGAAUGGGCCCUUCGAUUCCGAUGGCGAAACAAUUCAGUCUUGAUGACAUAUAUGCCUGAUGGGUAUGUGUUGGCGUAAGCUUCACUGUCUGUUAUGGUUGCAUGUGUUGUCUAGGCGCAUUUUGUUUUGUCGGUAGGGCGUCGUAACCAAUAGAGUUUAUAAAAAUGCGUUUUGAGGGCUGGAAUGUUGGUAGCAUUGAAGUUUUCGGACUUUAGUGUAAUUAGCGUCCGGUCUGAAUGAAUCGCUACUCUAUUGGGGCAAUGUCUCGUACUUCUGCGCAAGAAAACCGGAAGGUCAGGCUGUAAGUUGUUGAUCUACUUUUAGUAGGCUGURAUUUAUAUGCUUGGCUGGUAGCUGGAUUUCUAUUGCUUUUGUACGUGGACGGUUAACGGCGAGUAGGUCGGUAACCCAUUCGACCCGUCUUGAAACACGGACCAAGGAGUGUAACAUGUACGCAAGUCAUUGAGUUCCUGUACCUCAAAGGCGAAAUGAAAUGUGAAGGUUAAUUUACAUUGACUGAGACGCGAUCCCGCACUCUAUGUAGUGUGGGCGCAGCGUCCACCCGUUCAACGUGUACUUGUACACAGAGCGGAGUGUGAGCGUACAUGUUGCGACCCGAAAGAUGGUGACCUAUGCCUGGGCAAGAUGAAGCCAGAGGAAACUCUGGUGGAGGUCUGAAGCGAUUCUGACGUGCAAAUCGAUCGUCUGACCUGGGUAUAGGGGCGAAAGACUCAUCGAACCAUCUAGUAGCUGGUUCCCUCCGAAGUUUCCCUCAGGAUAGCUAGAGCUCAAAUUACAGUAUCAUCCGGUAAAGCGAAUGAUUAGAGGCAUUGGGGACGAAACGUCCUCAACCUAUUCUCAAACUUUAAAUGGGUGAGAAGCUUGUCUUCUUAAUGAAGUCAGCCGUAUAUGAGAGUUCUUAGUGGGCCAUUUUUGGUAAGC
rnacentral:rRNA from 1 species